GACGAACGCUGGCGGCGCGCCUAAUACAUGCAAGUCGAGCGAGAAGGUGUAGCAAUACACUUGUAAAGCGGCGAACGGGUGAGGAAUACAUGGUAAUCUACCAUCGAGUGGGGAAUAACCAACCGAAAGGUUGGCUAAUACCGCGUACGCCUCCGGAUCUUCGGGUUCGGAGGGAAAGCUGCACUGUGAGUGUAGCGCUCUUUGAUGAGCUCAUGUCCUAUCAGCUUGUUGGUAGGGUAACGGCCUACCAAGGCUUUGACGGGUAGGCUGGUCUGAGAGGACGAUCAGCCACACUGGCACUGCGACACGGGCCAGACUCCUACCGGGAGGGCAGCAGUAAGGGAAU
rnacentral:rRNA from 1 species